AUCUCUUCGGAGACAUCCGAUAAAAUUAGAACAAUACAGAAAAGAUUAGUAUGACCCCUGCGCAAGGAUGAUAUGUACAAAUGGAGAAAUGGUUCAGAUUUUU